GGGCUUUCCAAUAAGAAUUUCUCCUUACUGGCGCGCAAUUAGGUGACCAAACCUCUCCUUAGACAGAACUUUCUAGACAUUGCCAAUAAUGUUAUCUAAUAAUAUUAUUCAGAUAAUAUGAAUUAUUGCUUCGAUAAUGAAAAAUACUGUGUAAUGACAAUUAUUGAAACAACAGCAAUAUAAAAUAUCAACGCAGUAAUUAUUAAAUCAAUAAAAUAAAAUACUGAACAGUAAUUACUGUAAUCAUUAUUGAGUAGUGC
rnacentral:lncRNA from 1 species